AGGAUUUGAAGCAAACCGGCGAAAUAUUUCGACAAUCUAUCAGAAGGAUAGAAGUUGUGGUGUAGGAAAGGCAGUUAUCUAGCAUGAUCAAUUUCAGCUGGCAGAACAGAUAUAUGAAACAAGUAUUCUAGAUGAUAACUAACAAAGAAUAAAAGGGUUAAUUUCAUGGGAACAUAAUAAUUGCUGUCACAAGUAUUAUCCGCCACAUUUUAUCCAUCAGGCUAACCAAAAGAGUAGUUUGACAUGGGCAAAAUAAUGGAAGUAUGUGACUUUAGGAACUUAGAGAGUGAUCCUAAAGUGAAGACAUUGUAGCAUGUACUCCAUCCAAACAUCAAGUGACAUGUAUCUUCAGAUAAAAUGGCUACCUCAUGGGCCACCAAUAUAAUCCAUGAAGUGGCUCAAUUCAGCUGAUACAUCUGAUGGAAUUAGACAUGAGGCUGACCAAGUAUCUGAAAAACAUGAACAAAAGCCAAAUGAGUUCAUAAUGCUUGAUAGAUCACGAUAAAGCUUGUUCCAGCAUGCAUUGAAUAAUCAUCUUGGAGGCAACUUUAAGAUAAUUAAACAACUUUUCUUGCCAAGUUUAAAUAAAAUGAAGGGUUCUACUAAACUUCUAGUAGCAAAUAUCACAUGAUCACAGAGGGGCAUAAUUUGAGUCAACGGAAAAAAUAAGUAUUUGUUGCAAACACAAACAAUUCCAGGUUCACUUGUUGGAAUUAUACCUAAACAAAAUCCAAUAAUCAUCACUAAAAAUAAAGUAGCACAAAAGCUCACUGCAGAUGUGCAGCAAGGCAGCACUCUUGACCCAAUCAUUGCCAGUGUAGCAUGUUGCUCUAUGCCUUUCCCUUUUUGAUCUCCUUUGCACUUGUUCUGAAACUUGUUCAGUUAACUCUUUCUUCAGUCAGGUUCUCUUCGUCCUCAUUAUUCGUGGCAGCACCAAGUACAGCCGGUUCCAUAAUGGAAAAUAGAGCUAAAGGCAUUUUAUUAAUGGAACAUCAUUUAGAGUGCCCAUAAACUCUACCGAUGCUUUAGUGGUCCUACUAUAUGUUAGUCUUCAAUCUGGCAUCUCUUCAAAUAAAUCAAGCCUUGAUCCCAUUAAAACUCAAGAUUCAAGAGUGACACUUCCAAGUAAAGUAGUGACAGUAGUAAAUAUUAAGUCCUGCAUUCUCAGGCAACUUUACCAAUAAGUUGAGCCAGCUUCAGAAGCGAAAAUCACAAUAUCAUCCCGGUGUCUACUACAUGUCUAUCUUUUGGACAGCAUCAACCUGAACAUCCUCUAGUAUAUCAAACCUUGUUCCCAACCAAAUCCGAUAAUGAGUGACACUUUCAUGCAAAUUCUACGGGGAGUAUUUUCAUGUAUUUCUACUAGCGUCAGUAAAGUAUUGACAGUCAGUUGGUACUAAGUGGACUAUUUUUAGGCAUUCCUAUCAGUAAAUACAGCAAGCAGCAAAAAUGAAAAACAAAAUGUAUAGCACCAAUUAAAUCCACAUAUCUCCAAUAGAAUCGUCAAAUCAAACCAUACAUAGUUCGUGCCCCUAAUUCCACAGGUAUUUGGGUAC
rnacentral:lncRNA from 1 species